UUCACGUGAUAUCCCUUUUCUCAUUUCCUUUCUUUCAUAGUUUCAUCUGAUCCAUUUGCUGGAUCUUUUCCCUAAUUCAAUUUCUAUCCUAAGUUUCUCUCCUCUCUCCUCCCUCCUCCGCCCCUCUCAUCAAAAUCAAGCUCCACAACAAUUCACCAAAUUCCGAUCUUACCACCACCAUUAAUGCGUUGUUUAUCUCAGCCUCAACCAAGUGGUCGCAGUGUUGCGUUGGAGCUGCCAUAGACAACAACGUCAAAGGAUCAAAUCUCUAUCCUAGGGUUUAUCAUCUCUUGCUAAAGGGGAGAAGGAUGCGAUUUGGACAUAUGAUUUAUGAUGGAUGCAGGUGAAUCAAGUCCCAGCAGCAAGUCGACGAAUUCGACCAUAAGGCUGAUGAGCAGGAUGUGGCAGAAUUCAUUGAUGAAGUGGACGAGGAGUUUUAUCAUAGAGAUGAUGGGAAUAUCGAAAUAGAUGAGUAUGAUUCGGCAGAUCUGCUUGUCCAAUAUGGAGGAGUUUCCCCAAAAAUGGCCUAAUAGGCUCAUUCAAGGGCCAUCAAUAGGCUUGGAGAAGGUCUCGUAAGUAUGUGCUGGAAAACUGCUAGGUGACAUGAGUGUUAAAAGAGCUCAGCCACUACAGGAAAUUGCUGAUGCAGAUGCAGAGCUGGCAGUCAUCUGUUCUGCAAUGGGAGAAAGACCAGUGCGUAUUCUGCAAUGACCAAGUCUUGAGAAGAGAGAAAAUGGCAACGCCAAAAAAUGGCAAUGACCAGGACUUGAGAAGAGAGAAAAUGACAAUGACAGUGUGCUGCGCUUUGCAAAUCUGGAAAUGUUUAUGCAGUGGAUUCUGACAAUAUGGAUUGCUUAACCUUUGGAGCUCCUAAAUUUCUCCAUCAUUCAAUGGAUCUAGGCUCCAAGAAAGCACCAGUCAUGGAAUUUGAAAUGGAUAAGGUCUUGGGAGGAGCUGAAUCUUAGAAUGGAUCAAUUCAUUGAAUUGUGCAUUAUUUGUGGUUGUGAUUAUUGUGAGAGUGUGAAAGGUAACAAGAGAUGCUUUUGAACUCAUUAAUUCAUGAAUAUGGUCAAAGUUGUCUUGUUUAAUAAUGGACUAAAGGAGAUAUGUGACUUUUGUGCACUUGAUGUAUAGUCUUCAUUAAGGAUUGAAUUUGACCCAUUAAGGAGGGAAAUGAGGGGACAGGGACUCAGGGAGGGAGAGAGGGAGAUGAGGGGGAGAGAGAUGGAUAGAUAGAUGGAGAUUCUGGUUUAGUGUAAAGAUGUCAAUGACUGGUUAAUCAUUCUUGAUUUUAUCUUCCAGAAAAGAGGCACCACUGUUGUAUAGUGAUUAGUGAGCUGUACCAUUUUGUUCAAUAUUUGAAAUGGUGAAACCUUCUUUUGAGUCUGCAAGACUUUACUUUUUUCGUUUCUUUCUUGUACUACGAACAUAACAUCCCCACUCCCUAUGAUCUUUGAUUUUUUCCCCUAUGUCAUAUAUCGCCUGAAAUCAGUCAGAUAAUAUAUGUUUCAUUUACAGUAGAAAUGCCUAAUGUCUAUGGUUGCUCACGAAAUCAGAGAAAUAUUGAAGCUUACUGCUCUAUCAUUUUAUUUAUGUCAGUGACAUAUUUUGAGAGAAAUAGAGCUAGGAUUACAUACAUACUGAUAUAUAUUUCAUAGAACUUGGCUUCCAUUUAUUUUUGGUGUUAAAUUAUCCUUAAUACUCUUCGUACUCUAAGAAACCAUCAAUGUUAUAUUAAGUAAUCAUCAUAAUUGGAGAUUUGGCGCUUAAAAUUAAAUCUUACCUCUGCUUGAUUUAUGUUGAGUUCUCUCCUUCUGUCAUUUGGAGUCGAGGAGGGGUUGUAGUCUUCCAGGAGUAGAGACGGAGAGAGAAAAGAGAGUUUAGGUUGUUUAAUGAUUGGUUUCGCAUUAUUGGUUUGGUCUUUCGGCAAAGAGGCACCACAUAUGUGUAGUGAGCCUUACUAUUUUUCUGAAUGUUUCUAAUGUUUUUACACCUUUCGCCUGUUGAUUCUACAACCCUUUUCUUGGUUUCUUUAUUGUACCUAAUCCCCAACCCCAAUGGUCUAUGAUUCUUUUUGUUGUUUUAUGACAGCCUGUAACCAGUGGGAUUGUGUGUACAACUGAUACGCCUGUAGCAUUAUGUUGUAUUCCCGUAAAAUAAACUGCAACAUCUGUUUCUUUCCUUAGGUGCAACUUUAGAUUAAAUUUCUCAUUUUCUUGCUUUGUAAACUGAAUUCUGUUGUAACGAUUACCAGAAAAAACCUUCAGCAGUUUUCAAUAGUAAUAUUUUGACUCUCGACCAGGUGUAGUUUAGUGGUUAAAAGCUAAACCUAUCACCUCUAUGGUCAAGUCUGAUUCUUACCAGGUUACCAAGCUACCAUUUUGGGAUAUAGAAUUUUAUAACUUUCCUUAUUCCUAUAAAAUAAUUGAGGCUAUUCUUAGAAAUUUUCCUAACUCUUUUAAGUAGGUCUUGGCAAUAUGGUUCGGAAGAUGACUCUUCAAACCAUGUACAACAAGCCAUAUGUGUCGUUCCGGUCCUAUAAUAUACUUUGAAAAUGCUGGUUUCAUAGACGGAAUUCGAGAAAUAAGUUAGAGAAACUAAUAUGUCUGGGAGAACUUUGUUCCAAAUUAAUUGAAGAGCUUUACCUUUGUUGUUUUUUUCAGCAUGGAAAUCUAUGUUGUUGUAUCGUAAAUGGGAACAUGAGUCCUAACCAGACAGAAUUAAUAGAGAUUAAGUCGUUAAACAAAGUGGUGGCAAGUCGCAAGGGGUAUUUUCCUAAUAUGUUCAUGUUAUUCUAGUACUACGUACAUAUCACCUUUUAUAUAAUACAUGCCGAUGCAAAAUAAUUUGAGCCCGUGCAUGAGCUUCUACACAUAAAUCAUGUUCUGAUGUAGGUUGGACUAACGACAUAUCUCUUCAAGUGCAAUGACCCGCAAUGGUGCCUCAAGCAAGUGGUUUGGAGGAUGACAUCCCUGUUUCUUCCUCCUUUUAUCCAUCGUGUUCAAUGCCAACCUUCAAGUGUAAAGUGGUUGUAUGUUUAAUGGCUAUGUGUUCAAUGCCAACCUUCAAGUGUAAAGUGGUUGUAUGUUUAAUGGCUAUGUGUAUAUCUUUUGCUAGCAAACUUUAAUUAUGUUGCAUUGCUACCAAUAAAUUGUUGUUAAUAUAUAUUAACAUUGUUAUUGUAAUUGGAUGUUCCUAGGAAAUACGCAUACAUCUUCUGAUUUGUUA